AGUGAACGCUGGCGGUAGGCCUAACACAUGCCAGUCGAACGGCAGCACAGUAAGAGCUUGCUCUUACGGGUGGCGAGUGGCGGACGGGUGAAGAAUACAUCGGAAUCUACUUUUUCGUGGGGGAUAACGUAGGGAAACUUACGCUAAUACCGCAUACGACCUACGGGUGAAAGCAGGGGAUCUUCGGACCUUGCGCGAUUGAAUGAGCCGAUGUCGGAUUAGCUAGUUGGCGGGGUAAAGGCCCACCAAGGCGACGAUCCGUAGCUGGUCUGAGAGGAUGAUCAGCCACACUGGAACUGAGACACGGUCCAGACUCCUACGGGAGGCAGCAGUGGGGAAUAUUGGACAAUGGGCGCAAGCCUGAUCCAGCCAUACCGCGUGGGUGAAGAAGGCCUUCGGGUUGUAAAGCCCUUUUGUUGGGAAAGAAAAGCAGCAGGUUAAUACCCCGCUGUUCUGACGGUACCCAAAGAAUAAGCACCGGCUAACUUCGUG
rnacentral:rRNA from 1 species